rnacentral:rRNA from 1 species
GUAGGGAAUAUUGCGCAAUGGACGAAAGUCUGACGCAGCGACGCCGCGUGAGUGAUGAAGGCCUUAGGGUCGUAAAGCUCUGUUGAAUGGGAAGAAAAAAAUGACGGUACCAUUCGAGGAAGGACCGGCUAACUUCGUGCCAGCAGCCGCGGUAAUACGAGGGGUCCUAGCGUUGUUCGGAAUCAUUGGGCGUAAAGGGUGUGUAGGUGGCCAUGUAAGUCAGGUGUGAAAGCCCCGGGCUCAACCCGGGAAGUGCACUUGAUACUGCGUGGCUUGAGUACCGAAGAGGGUAGUGGAAUUCCAGGUGUAGUGGUGAAAUACGUAGAUAUCUGGAGGAACACCGGUGGCGAAGGCGGCUACCUGGUCGAGUACUGACACUGAGACACGAAAGCAUGGGGAACAAACAGGAUUAGAAACCCGGGUAGUCC